CCCACGCCAUCGGGUCUUUUUGGUGGGAUGUUGUGACUAGUGGAGUUAUUUGAGCUGCACAGUAGUAUCCCGCCACGUCAGGCAUUCCCAUCCCUCCUUGGGCAAAUGAUCAGUGCAUUGUGGUUUUUGCUACUCUUGGUUUCGCGUUUUCCCACACAUAAGCGUUGAGGAGGUUUUGUAGUUCCAGCAGAUACUUUGUGGGAAGCUUGAGUGGGAGUGUGCGGAAUAAGUAUUGUAUUUUUGGUAGGAGCACCAUUUUUAUCGAGGCUAUCCGGCCUGUCCAUGAAAUGUAUUUCCCUUUCCACCCUUGUAGAAUGGAUUUGACUUCACCAAGCAGUUUGGCGUAAUUCGCUUUGAAGAGCCUGUUUGGUGUGGGUGUAAAGUUGAUCCCUAGGAACUUUAUAUGGUCAUGUCUCCAGUUGUAGUCAAAGUUAGCUUUUAGGGCAGUCAAGUCUUGGGACGGGAUGUUAAUCCCUAGGGCAAGGGUCUUUGCAAUAUUUCAUUUGUAGUAUGAGCAUUUGCUGUAUUGGGAUAGGGUCUUAUGAAAGUUGGGUAGCGAUAUGUGUGGUUGUUCUAGGGAUAAGAGGAUGUCGUCCGCGAACAGGGAUAGCUUAUAUUCUCGG